rnacentral:lncRNA from 1 species
AUCGACAAGAAUUUUUCAAAAAUUAUUCCCUUUGAACUUUGGCUGUUCCAACUCAGCUCUUGUAGCCCAACUGCCUCUCCAAGAUGACUGAUUCAACCUGGCUUCUCUCGACUUCUCACCAAAUUGCUCUGCUUGGCUUCAAACUACCUCUGGCAAUUUGUUCUAAUCUUCUGGAUCCUUAUUCUCUGGCUUCAACUUGCUCUGUUGACCUGCACUGAACUUCAUGACCACAACUCCACUGCGCUGACUCACUGAAUUCAACUCAGAUGCCUCAACUGACUGAACUCAGCUCAACUCUACUCCACUCACUCGACUGCCCUCCAAUUAGACAUAACUUUCAAGCAAGGCAGCUGCCUUCUACAAGCUAAACUUUCCUUCAUUGUUUGAGAUUGAAGAAGAAAUUCAGAGGCAGAGUUUUGUUGCUUGCUGUCGAACUGAGGCAACAGGAAGAGAGACUGUGACCCACUGCCCUGCUUGAGCAUCUGAGACCUCAAAGGCCAUCCCUAGUGACAAACUCCCACAUCUAACAGUGCCGCUUGGUAUGAGCCUGGAGCAGGGGGAUCAUUUUCUUUCAAAUGGCUGCAAGGAGCCUCUGCUUCUCAAUUAUGCAAAGAAAAUUAUGUGCUAUCCAUUUCUCAUUCACACACUAAAGAAAUGUAUUUGUCUCUAUAUUUGCAUUUGUUACCAUGGUUCCUAAUGAAACUCACCUCCUGAUAUUUAGACUUCUGUUUUAAAUCUUCCCUCUCCCCACUUCAAGUCUCCAAGACCUAGGAAUGUGAUUCUAAGGAGUAAAAUACUAGAAAAAUAAUGUAGCAUCAUUGCCUUGUAAAAUUGACGGCUUCUAUUUUGGUGGCUUAUAUUUUUUUGUUUUGUUUUGUUUUGUUUACUCCUCACUCUGAAGGAAGCAGGUGCCAGGUUUCAGUCGUCCUAUGAACAGGGCAGGGGGACAUGAAAAUGAGUCUCUAACCAACAGGCUGUGAGGACCUGAGAACUUUCAAUAAUCA